AUAGUCCAUUCCCUAAAAAUGGAAGAUUGUAUUAGUCUGCUGUAUACGAAUUCAACCCAUGCAGUGGUUUAGAUGAUUCUUUAUGAAUGAGCGAGAAGAUGGAGGGGGACGAGAGCCGGUAGUGCCUACCCGGCAUAUUUGAGUGGCGUAGCUGAGCAGAGUGCUGAGAGUGAUCUUGCUUUUGGGGUUAGGCAGGUAAUCUUUCAAACUUCCCAGAGGAAGGAAUUCCAUGAUCAACUUGGUGGCCCGACCACCUGCUUGCACACAAAUGAAGAUGGCGG